UAUAUUUUUUUUCAUCUUGAACGAGUCAUAAGGAUAUUCUCUGGUGUUUUUUCCGCGAAAAAAUUGAUGAAAUUGACGGGUUGGAAAUGAAAAAAGGUUCAGAUGGGAGCUUUUUCGGUUUUAGAAUUUUUUGGGAGGAUUUGGGAGGUUGUCAAUGACGUCAGUAGCUCGCAGGAUUCGAAGUUGAGGUGCUGGGAGGCGCUGGUGGUCGUUGGUUAUUUUUUAUUUAUGAAUGUUGAAGCGAUUAAUAUUUUUAGUUGUGGAAAAGUGAGGGAAGUGAUCGAAAUUGAUUUGCUAGAAAAUAAUUUUUUUAAUUUGUUGUUUUGUUUUGCUGGAGAUUUUUUUCGGUGGAGAAACUGAUGAAAUUGACGACGUGGAAGUCCUCAAAAAGAUUUUUCGAGGGGGUAAUGACGUCAGUCUCUUGCAGAAUUCAAAAUUCAGUCACUACGAGGCACUGCUGGUCAUUCAUUUAAAAAAUUUGUUCAUUAAUAUUCAAGUGAUUAAUACCUGUGAUGCUGGAAAAAUUAGGGAACCAACAGAAAUCAAUUUUCCCAAAAAAAAAAUUUUUUUAAUUUUCUAUUUCACUUUACUGUAAGAUUUUUCCUGAAAAAAUUGAUGGAAUUGACGAUUUGGAACCAAAAAAUGUCACCAAACAUUUUGGGUGUUACAUUUUUUUGCUCGAGGUACUCCAAAAUUUUUGUUAAAAUAAAUAAUGACGUCACAACUUCGAAAAAUUUGAAGUCAAGUCACAAAUCGUUCCCUCGAUUUUUAUCCGGUGGUUAAUACCAUUCGAUGGACAAUUUACGUAAAAGACCGGUAGCCGUUGGUGGAUUGUUACUCGCUCCCGCGAUUUCCAGAACAUAACAGAACAGCAACACUAUCUUUUUCAUCGAAACGAUUCGCUAUUCUCACGAACCCCCCCCUCCCCCCUGGACAAUGGGAGCCGCGAGAAGAGGAUUGCGUGCUGUGAAAAUGAAAAGUACGAAACGUUUAAUCUGCACUAUCUAACAUCGGUUAAUCUCAGUAAAAAACCAUAAUUGAUUCAAUCUCUUAAAUGCUCUUUUAAUUGAUGAAUAAAACAUUUUUUAUAGGGGUUUGUGUUUGUUUUUUCUCACAUUCCUCGAGUGAGGGUAGAAUAUUCAAAAUGAUGCAGAGACUAACAUCUUGUGGGAUAAUAAUUAUCGCGUAAUUGUUGAAUUUAAUAGAACAAUUUGUUAAUAUAAAUUGUAGGAAAAAAACUCAAGAAACAUCGAACGUAUUCUCAACUGAAACGUCCCAUAGUGUUUAUAGUAUAGGAGGAAAGGAAAUACUAUAAUGAAGGGUAUAGUAAAAGGUACAUUGAUUCAUAGUAACUAACACUAUGCGACUAUAGUAAUGAUUACUAUUCGCUAAAGCAAUCGCGACGAAUUAUUAUGAGAUGUUUUACGAUUGCGGAUAUAGUAAACGCUACUAUUCGCACAUCGGGCCCUUUACUAUACUCCAUAUAGUGGUAACUAUUAAAGAUAUGGUGAUGAUUAUAAUAUUUAUGAGAUCUAGUCGCUGUACUAUUGCACUCCUUUUUUAAAGCCUUGUUUAUCGUUCACUAUGUCAUAUAGGAUUUAUUACUAUGUCCCAUCGGUCAACUAUGGGUGCUUUACUAUUUAUCAUAGUAAACGUCACCAUGCGAAAUUGUAUUUUUUACUAUGUCUACCGAGUGGAUUGACAUCGAUUCUUACUAUGUCCUAUAGUAACGUUCACUACGACGUAUAGUAAUCGUUACUAUGACAUAGUAAUGCUAGUAAUGUAAUAGUAGUAGAUACUAAGGAAGUAAUCGUGUAGUAAUGUUACUAUAUUACAUGAAACAUUAUCAUGGCAUAGUAAUACUACUAUACUACUAUAUCAUAUUACUGUACUACUAUACUACUACUAUAUCAUAGUAAUGGUUAGUAAAUUUGAGUCAAUUUUUUGUACGCGUUAAUAUCCACAUAGUUCUCUCCACUAUGGCAUAGUUAUCUCUACUAUGACUUGUUUCUUGGUGUAGAGAUCAUGGAUUAAGGCCCACGGAUGAUUAAAACAUAAUCAAAAUGUAUUUCAAUUAUCCUUAAUGGGCAUAUCAUUGUUUAUAAUAAAUUAUAAAUUAUUUGGAUGAUGAUGUCGUCUUAGAAUUGAAAAGAAUUUUUUUAUAAACUCACAAAAGCUGAACAUAUAUAAUUAUCAGUUGAAAAAAAUUGAAAAUUUUUUUUUUUAAUAGAGGCCUAACAAUCCCACUGACCCAAUGUGACUCUUCACAUAUCAAUUAACGACUCUUUCAUCACGACAUGAAAAAAAAUAGUUUUUCCCCCAGUGUAUCUCAAAUUCGAGAGAAUGCCUCCAGUGUUGGAAAUUGUUGGCGGCGUUGAAAACGUUUUUUUAAACCAUAAAUUAGUUUCACCAUAAAAAUAUGUUUACCCGAGCACUUCAUCAAGUAGAAUGCAAUCUCUGACGAAAUGUCGAAGAAAGAGGGACUAAUAAAGACUUGACUCUCGUCUCCCAGAACCAUAGGCUCUUUGUCGCAGUGGUCUGGCGUCAUUGUACGUAUGAAUGAUAUAAACAAAAUAUGUGGGGGUCGAGUACAGGAGAAAUAAAAUACUUGGAAAUGUGCGCUGGGUUGAUGUUUAAUCUGGGCUUCUAUCAUGUGAUUGAUUUAUUGGGCUCGUUCUCGUAAUCUGAGUGAAGUGUUGGACUUGAGUGCCUCAAAUUUAUCUACGCAAUUGGAAAUUUGAACGAUUUUUGAUCGAUACAGGAAAUGUAUUGCAGUUUAUUCAAAUGUAUACGGUGUAGGCGAGUGGCAUAGGGAGUUUUUUCGCGCGCAAAAAUCCCUAGGGUACUAAUUAAGAACUCGUUUUCUGAAGGGAUUUUCACAUUUUCGAGGUCGAGGAAGGGCUGAUGCCAAUCGUUGGAGGAGGAAAGGAACUGAAAUAGAAUAGAACGUGCCCACAAUGGAUAAAUCCUCCGGCUCUCAUUUUUUACGACUCAUUUGCAAAUCUCGAGCGUUGCGUCAGGGCAAGAUGGAGAGGACGAGAGGUGGUUUAUGCUGGUUAUGAGUGUGUGAGAGUCGUGGAAAGUGAGACACAGGACGAGGGAACAUAUACGGACUGAAGGAAAUGAUCGACGGCAGAUUGUUGGCCGUGUGUUGGGCGGUUGGAAUUGUUUACUGACGACUGGAACUGAUGAUGGAAGGAGAUGGUGAAAAUUCAAUAAGCACAUCCUGUCUUGAAGGCUCCUCCAUCGAGGUCGAGAUGGGGAGAAACCGCCAUUAUCGAGUAACCCAAAACGAUUAUUUUCCGUGUAUUAUAAAUAUCGGUAUCGUUUAAUGUGUUGGCAAGUAAUGGCCGUGGAUCGCUUGAUUACACUCGGAGAAGAAAUUAUUUUUCCUAAAUGUUCAUUUACUUCAGAGAAUUAUUGAUUUUACCAAUUCUUCAUUUCUGAAAUCAAGUAAUUCCCUGACAAUUUUGAUUGAGUUUGAACUGCGGCAAUUAUAUUGUUCUAGAACGUGAUCAUGUUAAUUAUAACGUUGAGUGAAUGAACUGCUGGAAUAAUUAUGAGGAUUAAAUAAUUCAUCGCAGUUCUUUCCUCAAGAAAAUCCGAACUUUAGAAAAAUGAAAUAAUUAUUAAUGGAGUUCAUUCAAGGUCACGCCGAGUAUUCUGAUUAUUAUAAUUUGAAAUUAAGUCUAUCCCCAUUCGAGAGUGAUCAGAUCCACAAAAAUACAAUUUUGAAAAAAAUAAAGACUCCAGAGAAGUAUUUAUUUAUUUUUUAUAAUAUUUACUGUAAACUCUGUGGAGAAGGGGGGGGGAGGGUGGUAUUUAUAAUAAAUAAUUCAAAGGAGUAUUUCUUUUAUCUAGUUAACUGUUGAAAACUUUUGUUGGAUGAAAAUUCUGAUAAGUUUAGGGUACGGUAUAUGCUGUUUUGUUGGGCCCAGAGUUGCAUGAGUGGGACCUUUGUUAAUGUGAGUCAUCAGGCCCAGAGUGUUGUAUCUGUUUGUCAUUUUAGUUCGUUUUUCUGAUAAGAAGAACCGCAGCGGAUGUGUCUUUCCGAGCGAAUAAAUAAAAAAAUUAUUACAAAUUACCCCAUGUUCCAAUAAUUUUAUAAAUUUUCAAUAAAAAUAAUAUCCACUAAUUAAAUCGGCAAAUUGGAAUUUACCUAAUGCAAUUCAUAUGAACUAGAUUGGAGUAAUAAAAAUUCGUCGAAAUUUGAAAUACUCUUGAUUUAUUUGAACCCAAAAAUCUUGAGCGCGUGUCCGCCCAGUGACG